rnacentral:lncRNA from 1 species
UGUGUUUUGUUUGUCAGUCCCCCAUGAAGGUGGCCAUGCUUUGCAACCUCGCAUCCAGAGAGACAUAAAGAAUGUAGAUCCCCCUGUGGUCUUACAGGGGCCAAUAACUCAUGGAACGGAUGUAGACGCAAUCCUCCGGAAGCACAAUAUCACUUUACCAAAUGGCUACCUUGGUCAGUGCACUGUUGUGAACAGCUGUGAGGGUCUGAAAGAGCAACUGGAGGACACAAACAGACAAUUGCAUGAGAAAACCAGCCACACCAUUCAACUGGGUGAGCUGUUGUAUUGCUGCUGGUCCUACAUAUCACCUAAAGCGCGGUCGCCCUUUUUCUAGCUCCUAGUCAACUUUGCAGUAUUUUGUAUUUUUUUUGUAUUAUUACUUACAUUUUUUGCUCAGAUUGUUUCUAAUAUUAUUAUUUCGGACUCUGACAUUGCUCGUUCUGAUGUGUCUUAAUUGUAUAUUGUUAUUGUAUUGCUUGAUAUUGCUGCGUUGUUGGAGCUAGAAACUUAAGCAUUUCACUCAGG